GUUGAACAACAAAAACUUCGAAGGGAUUGACAAGCAACUGGGAAGACUUUCUAUAACCGACAGUCAGCUGGAAUCUAUUGGGGAUGAAACGUUUGUACGAAUGACGAGUCUAAGAAGACUCGUACUUUCAGGGAACAAGCUAACAGUGAUUCAUCCCAAUCGCUUCCUUUUUCUGAAACUUCUCUUAACCUUGUAAGAAAUAUUUUUUUAAAUAUUACUUCUUACUUUAUUAUGCAAA